CCUCCCACCCUCCUUCCCUCCUCCUCUUCCCAGCUCCCCCGCCCUCUGCUGCUCGCAGCCUCGCCAGUGAGAAUCUACUGUAAGUGUGAGUUGCUUCGACGAAGUCACACACCCACGGAGGGAAGUAAUCUGGAGGCUGCCUUGGCAUUUUUAGUGAUGUGUGGCCUCACCACUUAAAUCCAGUUUAUUGAAUCUGAAGUGAUUUGCUCCUCUUUCUGGACUACACAAUAAACACCCUCCAACGUCCCCAGCCAUGCUCUUCCCAUCAUUUGGCUGAAAGGGGAGGAAUUCAAGGCCUUAGAGUGGGGAAGCUACAAUUUGGAAGAAUCCUGGAAGCACAGAUUACCCUGUGAAGCAGCAUCCCCAUGAGGGUCUCUUUCUUCUGUGAUAUAAGCAAGAAAUAAAUGAAUUGUGCAAAUCCAGUGA
ensembl:lncRNA EPHA5-AS1 EPHA5 antisense RNA 1